UGGUUCUCCUGGUUCUUCUUGUGGUUUUUGGAGGUCUCAUAUAUUAUUUCCGUCAGUAUUUCAUGUCAGUUUAUAAGGUGGAGGUGGAUUCAGGGGUGGAGUCUGUGCAGCUGCCCUUAAACACCACACUUCACCUGCCUGAAGAUGUUACAGUGGAGUGGAAGGAUAACAAUGCAAAGGUUCAUGUGUAUGAGAACGGCUCUGACCAGCCUGAAGAACAGGACCAGGUUUACAGAGACCGAACGAAGAUGAAUGAAG